rnacentral:rRNA from 1 species
GCUUUGGUUUCUUGAUGUAUUUCCGGUUCAUCUUUUUGGAGAGGUCAGCAUCAGCUACUCGGAAUUGAUUUCGUUCAAAGAAGGUAGGUUCCUUGUGGACCGUUAUAUCUUUGUUCUUUCCUUUUCCUUGUGGCUGAGGAGUGUUUCUGUUUCCGAGCUCCACUUUCGAGUACUCGGUUUCUGUGAUGCUGGCUUAAUCGGUUCCAACCGACCCGUCUUGAAACACGGACCAAGGAGUCUAACAUAUGUGCGAGUAUGCGGGUUUUACUCCUGUAUGCGCAAUGAAAGUGAGAGUAGGGAGAUUUUGGCUUUGCCAUUCUUCGCACCUACGACCGACCA